GGGGAAUAUUGGGCAAUGGGGGGAACCCUGACCCAGCAACGCCGCGUGGAGGAAGAAGGUUUUCGGAUCGUAAACUCCUGUCCUUGGAGACGAGUAGAAGACGGUAUCCAAGGAGGAAGCCCCGGCUAACUAUGUGCCAGCAGCCGCGGUAAUACGUAGGGGGCAAGCGUUGUCCGGAAUAAUUGGGCGUAAAGGGCGCGUAGGCGGCUCGGUAAGUCUGGAGUGAAAGUCCUGCUUUUAAGGCGGGAAUUGCUUUGGAUACUGUCGGGCUUGAGUGCAGGAGAGGUUAGUGGAAUUCCCAGUGUAGCGGUGAAAUGCGUAGAGAUUGGGAGGAACACCAGUGGCGAAGGCGACUAACUGGACUGUAACUGACGCUGAGGCGCGAAAGUGUGGGGAGCAAAC
rnacentral:rRNA from 1 species